GAUGAACGCUAGCGGCAAGGCUUAAUACAUGCAAGUCAAGGGGUCAGCAAUGGCACCGGCGGACGGGUGAGUAACGCGUACACAACGUACCUUUAACUGGGGGAUAGCAUUUGGAAACGAGUGGUAAUACCGCAUGUGGUUGUAGGGAGGCAUCUUUUGCAACUAAAACUCAGGUGGUUAAAGAUCGGUGUGCGUCCGAUUAGCUAGUUGGUGAGGUAAUGGCUCACCAAGGCGACGAUCGGUAGGGGGCGUGAGAGCGUGAACCCCCACACGGGUACUGAGACACGGACCCGACUCCUACGGGAGGCAGCAGUAAGGAAUAUUGGUCAAUGGAGGCAACUCUGAACCAGCCAUGCCGCGUGAAGGAAGAAGGCGCUAUGCGUUGUAAACUUCUUUUGGGUGGGAAGAAAAUGGUCAAUUUAUUGGCAACUGACGGUACCAUCAGAAUAAGCACCGGCUAACUCCGUG
rnacentral:rRNA from 1 species